rnacentral:rRNA from 1 species
GUGAAUGCCUUGGAAAAUGGAGCCGAAGAAGGACGUGAUUACCUGCGAAAAGUCUGGGGGAGCUGGAAGUAAGCUGCGAUCCCGGAAUGUCCGAAUGGGGAAACCUAACAUGAUUUAUCUCAUGUUAUCUAUAAGUGAAUACAUAGCUUAUAAGAAGGGAACCUAGGGAACUGAAACAUCUUAGUACCUAGAGGAAAAGAAAAUAAUAAUGAUUCUGUUAGUAGUGGCGAGCGAACACGGAACAGGCCAAACCGUUCUACGGGGCGGGGUUGUAGGACUUUUGUUAGAGUUACAAAGUUAUUGUAUAGUAGAAGCUAUUGGGAAGUAGCGGCAUAGAGGGUGAUACCCCCGUAUACGAAAUGCAAUAACCUCGAGAAAGUAUCCUGAGUACGGCGAAACACGUGAAAUUUUGUCGGAAUCUGCCAAGACCACUUGGUAAGCCUAAAUACUACCAUUUUACCGAUAGUGAACCAGUACCGUGAGGGAAAGGUGAAAAGCACCCCGAGAGGGGAGUGAAAGAGAUCCUGAAACCAUAUGCUUACAAGAAGGUAGAGCCCGUUAAUGGGUGAUACCGUGCUUUUUGUAGAAAGAGCCGGCGAGUUACUAUUGCAUGCGAGGUUAAGUCGAUAUAGAUGGAGCCGUAGUGAAAGCGAGCCUUAAUAGGGCGUUUAGUAUGCAGUAGUAGACACGAAACCGGGUGAUCUAGCCAUGAGCAGGUUGAAGUUAGGGUAAAACCUAAUGGAGGACCGAACCAGUAUUCGUUGAAAAGACUUUGGAUGACUUGUGGCUAGCGGUGAAAUUCCAAUCGAACCCGGAGAUAGCUAGUUCUCCCCGAUAUAUCUUUAAGGAUAGCGUUAUGUGAAUUGUUGUGGAGGUAGAGCACUGAAUCUAUGAUGGCUGCACCUAGCGGUACUGAUUAGAAUUAAACUCCGAAUGCCAUAACUUGUGCAUAGCAGUCAGAACAUGGGUGAUAAGGUCCAUGCUCGUGAGGGAAACAGCCCAGAUCGUCAGCUAAGGUCCCUAAGUGUAAACUAAGUGUGUAAGGAUGUGGAACUGCACAGACAGCUAGGAUGUUGGCUUAGAAGCAGCCAUCAUUUAAAGAGUGCGUAACAGCUCACUAGUCGAGUGAUUCUGCGCCGAAAAUGUACCGGGGCUUAAGUUUACCACCGAAGCUACGGAUUGUACGCAAGUACAGUGGUAGGGGAGCGUUCCAAGGGUGAUGAAGUCAGACCGUAAGGACUGGUGGAGCGCUUGGAAGUGAUUAUGCCGGCAUGAGUAACGUUUGGAAGUGAGAAUCUUCCAUGCCGUUUGACCAAGGUUUCCUGGGCAAGGUUCGUCCACCCAGGGUUAGUCAGGACCUAAGACGAGGCCGACAGGCGUAGUCGAUGGACAACAGGUUGAUAUUCCUGUACCAGUUAAUUAGUGAUGGAGUGACGGAGAAGGAUAGUAUAUCCCGGGUGCUGGUUGUCCCGGGCUAAGCACAAAGACGGCAACAUUGGCAAAUCCGUGUUGUAUUAACGUUGAAGUGUGAUGGGGAGUGAACGGUUCGCCUAGUAACGAAGUAUAUGACUCCACGCUUCCAAGAAAAGCUUCUAACAUUAAUAAUUAACUGCCUGUACCUAGAACGAACACACGUGGUCAAGGAGAAAAUCCUAAGGCAAGCGAGAUAACUGUAGCUAAGGAACUCUGCAAAAUAACUCCGUAACUUCGGAAGAAGGAGUGCUCAUCUUUGAUGAGCCGCAGUGAAGAGGGAGGGGCAACUGUUUAACAAAAACACAGCUCUCUGCUAAGUCGCAAGACGAUGUAUAGGGGGUGACACCUGCCCAGUGCCGGAAGGUUAAGAGGAGAAGUCAGCGCAAGCGAAGCUUUGAAUUGAAGCCCCGGUGAACGGCGGCCGUAACAAUAACGGUCCUAAGGUAGCGAAAUUCCUUGUCAGGUAAAUUCUGACCCGCACGAAAGGUGUAAUGAUCCCUUCGCUGUCUCGGCUGCAGACUCGGUGAAAUUUUAGUACCGGUGAAGAUGCCGGUUACCCGCAACUAGACGGAAAGACCCC